rnacentral:rRNA from 1 species
CCUACGGGAGGCAGCAGUGGGGAAUAUUGGACAAUGGGCGAAAGCCUGAUCCAGCCAUGCCGCGUGUGUGAAGAAGGUCUUCGGAUUGUAAAGCACUUUAAGUUGGGAGGAAGGGCAGUAAAUUAAUACUUUGCUGUUUUGACGUUACCGACAGAAUAAGCACCGGCUAACUCUGUGCCAGCAGCCGCGGUAAUACAGAGGGUGCAAGCGUUAAUCGGAAUUACUGGGCGUAAAGCGCGCGUAGGUGGUUCGUUAAGUUGGAUGUGAAAUCCCCGGGCUCAACCUGGGAACUGCAUUCAAAACUGACGAGCUAGAGUAUGGUAGAGGGUGGUGGAAUUUCCUGUGUAGCGGUGAAAUGCGUAGAUAUAGGAAGGAACACCAGUGGCGAAGGCGACCACCUGGACUGAUACUGACACUGAGGUGCGAAAGCGUGGGGAGCAAACAGGAUUAGAUACCCCAGUAGUC